rnacentral:snRNA from 1 species
AGCUUUGCGCAGUGGCAGUAUCGUAGCCAAUGAGGUUUAUCCGAGGCGCGAUUAUUGCUAAUUGAAAGAUACAUCUCAAACUU